CCUACGGGAGGCAGCAGUGAGGAAUAUUGGUCAAUGGGCGCGAGCCUGAACCAGCCAAGUCGCGUGAGGGAAGACGGUCCUAUGGAUUGUAAACUUCUUUUGUCGGGGUGCAAAAGACGCCACGCGUGGCGUUCCGCGAGUACCCGAAGAAAAAGCAUCGGCUAACUCCGUGGCAGCAGCCGCGGUAAUACGGAGGAUGCGAGCGUUAUCCGGAUUUAUUGGGUUUAAAGGGUGCGCAGGCGGAAGAUCAAGUCAGCGGUAAAAUUGAGAGGCUCAACCUCUUCGAGCCGUUGAAACUGGUUUUCUUGAGUGAGCGAGAAAUAUGCGGAAAGUGUGGGGUAGCGGUGAAAUGCAUAGAUAUCACGCAGAACUCCGAUUGCGAAGGCAGCAUACCGGCGCUCAACUGACGCUCAUGCACGAAAGUGUGGGUAUCGAACAGGAUUAGAUACCCCUGUAGUC
rnacentral:rRNA from 1 species